CCUUUCUCAAAAUUUGUUCUCUUGCAAAAGACCUAUCUUAUCAUAAUUUCAAUACAAAUUAAGAGACUUACAUCCCAAGAAAAAGGAAAAUCAAGAUGAUGAGUGCAGCAACAGCAAGUAGGGCUUGGGUUGUGGCAGCCACAGUUGGAGUUGUGGAAGUGUUGAAAGACCAAGGGGUGUGCAGAUGGAACUAUCCCAUGAGACUGGUGCACCAGCAAGCCAAGAACCAUCUCAGGUCUUUUUCUCAGGCCAAGAAGCUGUCUUCUUCUUCUUCUGCCAUGGCUUCAAGCAUGAUCAUGAGAGAAGAGAAAAUAAAGCAGUCAGAGGAGUCUAUGAGGAAAGUGAUGUAUCUUAACUCUUGGGGUCCCAACUGACACCAACCAAAUUAAGCUUAGCUUAGCUUAAGGCCAUUGUAAAUUACUUUAAGGCAAAUGCUCUUACAAAUUUAGUAAAAUACAUUGGGCACAUAUGUUUUCCAAAUUCAGUUUUUCUUCUUGCUUGACUAAAGUGUUAAAUUUGGCACAGCAUCUUGGCCUUGGCCUAAUCCGAUCAUAAGAACAACACGACUAAAUUAUUCACCCAAUGGAAAACUGAAACAAACUUUUCCCCAAAAAUUCUGGGCUGAAAAGAACAAAAUAGCCGCUGGUAUGGCCAAAAACCACAACCCAAGUGAAACCACCUCCACUCUCAUCACCCCCUUAGCUCUCUCUCUCUCUCUCUCUCUCUGCAUAUUUAUGGCUUCAGUUAGAUAGUCUCGAUGCUUAUAUAUGUCUAUCUCAAUACUCUCUCCAACUUACUGUAACAAAUUCUACCUUGUUCUUUAAAUUACUGGUAGUGGCCAUCAUUCAAAAGUUAAAAAAUGAGGUGGAAGAGCAAGGCUUGGGUUGUUUUGGGCACUGUUACAGCUGUGGAGGAGUUGAAAGAAAAGAAUCUAAGCAAAUGGAGAUCCCUGCAGAGCUACCAACAUGCACUAAUUAACAACAUUGUGCCACUGUCUACACAAGUGGGAAAAUCUUCUUCAUCUACAACUUCAACAAUGGAGUCAAAGAAGAAAUAUUGCAAGCAGGGGACUCUGAAUCUGAAGCAAUCAGAAGAACCACUUAGACUAAUUAUGUACUUGAGCUGUUGGGGACCCAACUGAGCUGGAAAGAUAUGCUGCAUGCCCCUCCAUGUUUAUGAAAUCAUUACUAAGCAUUAUGUAUGUUUGUGUGUGUAUUUCAAGAUGUACACAUCCUGAUCUAUAAUCUUAUUAUCAUCAUAUGUUUGUAAGAACUUGUUCUAAAAAAAGAGGAAAUAAAAAC
rnacentral:lncRNA from 1 species